ensembl:lncRNA
CCCCCACAUACCCCCAGCCCUCUCCUCUGGCAGUGACAAGGCCUCUGCCCACAGGCACGCCCCAGUCUCUGCCCCAUCUCCGCAGGGAGGUAGGUUCAGAGGUCAGAGGGAACCCCUUCCCCCGAAACAGGAGCACAGGACAGUCCCAGCCCAGGUCGAUCAGGGGAGAGAGGGACUGGAAGGUCUGACGUACCUCCUGUCCCUCUGUCGCACCCCAGCGUGCCUAGAUGGCACAAGUGGGGAAUCUUCCCAACCCAGGGAUCCAACAUAAGUCUCUUGUGUCUCCUGCAUUGGCAGGCGGAUCCUUUACCACUAGAGCCACCCGGGAAGCCCCUGCAGGGGUGCUCUGUCCCCAUCCAUCUUCACUCACAGGCUGAGUCCUAGGCUGCAGGUUGAUCAGAGAGCAUCUGCUCUAUAGAAGAGGAGGAGGUCUCCAAGCAUCCUGACCCAAGGGACCAGGAAGUCCUACCUUCCCUACCCCUUGGUCUGGGGGGUCUCCAAUCCAGCCACCUCCCUCGACUAUGGUAUGGCCUCAGAGCAUACCUGGCAGGUCCUGGGUUGCUAUAGGGUGGGGUGGUAUAUCGUGGACCCCCACUGUCCAUACUCAUCCUCACAGACUCCAGGCACCGUGGUACCUACCAGGUUGGGUCCAGGGAGGCCAGUCAAAGGCCAGACAGGCAGACUGUG